UCGAAUCUGGAUCUUCUAAGAUGAUAUGCAAAUACUUUAAAAUGUUUUUAGGCAUUUAUAUGCAUUAGCAAAUGAAAAAAAUGGGGGAUUCACUUUACAGCAGUAAUCUGUAACAUAACCACCACAACAAGUAUUCCUAUAUACUGAAAAUAUUUACGAUGUGUAUUAAUUUUCUUAAGAUUUUAAAAAAUCAUGUAAUUUGGAUAUUAUAAUAAGUAUUCAAUUUUGUACUUCACAAUUAAUUAUUUUCUUACAUGAACAUUAAUUCUGAUUAACAAAAACGUUGUAGCAUGGGCUAUAUUUUUAUGUUAAUCGGAAAAAAAAAUCUAACAGUGUUAGGUCUAAAGAAUGAGAUUGAUAAAUUUUUGACAGAUUUAAUAUUAUGCAUAAAUUUUGUGAAUGCCAUGACAAUAUCUUUAUUUUCUAAUGAAAAUAGGCUUUUAUUUCAGAGAAACAAAACUGAUAUUUUUUUACUUCACUGGUAUAAUCAUGCACAAGCAAAAAUUUUUUUAAUUUACCUUGUAUACAAUUCAUAUAAUUCAAUAUUUUAGAUAUUUUUUUCUCUUAUCUAUGGUUAGAGACAAAAUCAAAAUGUGUUCCACUUAGCAUUGCAGAAAGAUAUGCACCUAAGCAACACUAUAUGUAAAGAUCUAUUAACCAAAUGCCAUAUAUCUAUAAACAAUUUGAGGUUGUUAUGAAUUAAACAUUAUGAGCAAAAUAUAAAAUCACAGCAGUGGUGCUACCACAUAUCAAAUGUGAAAUUUUCAAAAUGAAAAAAUAAAUACAGGAUGCAAACAAACUAUUGCGAGGGUUCGAAAGUUAUUUAAUUUCUCUUAGCUGUAUACAAAAAUAUGAGUACCAAUCAUUAGACAGCACAUAUCCAGCUGAUGAUCUAAUUCCUGCCAUAUUCUGAAUAGCGUCUUGUUGAUGGACUGAACAGUCGCAACAAUCCUGCAUUUUAAUGUGGGCAGACUGGUAGGUAGCAAUAGCAUGUACACCUAAUCCAAGUUUAUGGACAGUUCUUUUUUCAUUGAAAAACUUGGCAAGCAUUUCGUAUUUUGAUAUGAACCAGAACUGCUCUUCCCUUGGCUGCAGGAUGAACUAUAAGACUUCAUUUAGCAACAAGGAUGGAACUCUCAUUUUCUUCAUGAUGAGUGAGAACGGUUGAAUGAUGUGUUCAUCAAUAGUGGAUCAGACAUGUCAGUCCAUAGGACACAGUUUUAACUAC
rnacentral:lncRNA from 1 species